UAGUUUGAUCAUGGCUCAGGAUGAACGCUAGCGACAGGCUUAACACAUGCAAGUCGAGGGGCAGCGGGGGUGAUGGCUUGCCAUCACCUGCCGGCGACCGGCGCACGGGUGAGUAACACGUAUGCAACCUGCCCGCCACAGGGGGAUAAGCGGAAGAAAUUCCGUCUAAUACCGCGUGACGCGGCACCGGGGCAUCCCGGUGCCGCCAAAGGGAUUACCGGUGGCGGAUGGGCAUGCGGCGCAUUAGCUAGUCGGCGGGGUAACGGCCCACCGAGGCGACGAUGCGUAGGGGUUCUGAGAGGAAGGUCCCCCACACUGGUACUGAGACACGGACCAGACUCCUACGGGAGGCAGCAGUGAGGAAUAUUGGUCAAUGGGCGCGAGCCUGAACCAGCCAAGUCGCGUGAGGGAUGACGGUCCUACGGAUUGUAAACCUCUUUUGCCGGGGAGCAAGCGUGCGUUCGUGAACGCGCGUCGAGAGUACCCGGAGAAAAAGCAUCGGCUAACUCCGUGCCAGCAGCCGCGGUAAUACGGAGGAUGCGAGCGUUAUCCGGAUUUAUUGGGUUUAAAGGGUGCGUAGGCGGGAUGCCAAGUCAGCGGUAAAAAAGCGGUGCUCAACGCCGUCGAGCCGUUGAAACUGGCGUUCUUGAGUGGGCGAGAAGUAUGCGGAAUGCGUGGUGUAGCGGUGAAAUGCAUAGAUAUCACGCAGAACUCCGAUUGCGAAGGCAGCAUACCGGCGCCCUACUGACGCUGAGGCACGAAAGCGUGGGUAUCGAACAGGAUUAGAUACCCUGGUAGUCCACGCAGUAAACGAUGAAUGCUAACUGUCCGGUGCGAGUGAGCGCUGGGCGGUACAGCGAAAGCGUUAAGCAUUCCACCUGGGGAGUACGCCGGCA
rnacentral:rRNA from 1 species